rnacentral:rRNA from 1 species
GACGAACGCUGGCGGCGUGCUUAACACAUGCAAGUCGAACGGUGAAGCUCCAGCUUGCUGGUGUGGAUCAGUGGCGAACGGGUGAGUAACACGUGAGCAACCUGCCCCUGACUCUGGUAUAAGCGCUGGAAACGGCGUCUAAUACUGUAUACGAUACGGCUCCGCAUGGGCACUUUCUGGAAAGUUUUUCGGUUGGGGAUGGGCUCGCGGCCUAUCAGCUUGUUGGUUAGGUAAUGGCUCACCAAGGCGACGACGGGUAGCCGGCCUGAGAGGGCGACCGGCCACACUAGGACUGAGAGACGGCCCAGACGCCUACGGGAGGCAGCGGUGGGGAAUAUUGCACAAUGGGCGAAAGCCUGAUGCAGCGACGCCGCGUGAGGGAUGACGGCCUUCGGGGUGUAAACCUCUGUCAGCAGGGAAGAAGCGAAAGUGACGGUACCUGAAGAAGAAGCACCGGCUAACUACGUG